rnacentral:rRNA from 1 species
UAGCAUGAUCUAGUAUAAUAACUUUAUAUUGUGAAACUGCGAAUGGCUCAUUAAAUCAGUUAUGAUCUACGUGACAUAUUCUUUACUACUUGGAUAACCGUGGUAAUUCUAGAGCUAAUACAUGCAAAAAAACCCAAACUUACGAAUGGGUGCACUUAUUAGAUAAAGCCAACGCUGGGUAAAACCAGUUUCCCUUGGUGAUUCAUAAUAAUUUAGCGGAUCGCAUGGCCUUGUGCUAGCGACAGUCCACUCGAUUUUCUGCCCUAUCAUGGUUGAGAUUGUAAGAUAGAGGCUUACAAUGCCUACAACGGGUAAAAGGGGAAU